rnacentral:rRNA from 1 species
AUGGAUCUGUGCCCUAACAAUACUUGGCAAGCCUAUGUGUGGUGCUUUACUUUCUUCCCUGGUGGAGAAGAUUUUUACACAGUGGGAAUUGCUGCUAUGUGCUGGGCGAUUUGGACCAGUCGCAACAGGGCCACUUUUGAGUUCAAACCUCUUAAAAACCCGUUCGAAUGUGUUUUUACUACUUGUGCUCUAAUGUGUUACUGGGCAGGGCUACUGAAACAAGAAGACGUGGCGACCAUGAGGGACGGGGCAAAGAUGCUGAAGGAGAAUGCGUCGAUGAUGAUGAGAAUCUGCGGGGCAAGCAGUGAAGAAAUGGCUCGUUGA